rnacentral:rRNA from 1 species
AAGCGCUUUGAUUGGAUUCUUCGGAUGAAGAUAAUUGUGACUGACCGGCGGACGGGUGAGUAACGCGUGGGCAACCUGCCUUACACAGGGGGGAUAACAGUUAGAAAUGACUGCUAAUACCGCAUAAGACCACGGUACCGCAUGGUAGAGAGGUCAAAGGAGAAAUCCGCUGAAAGAUGGGCUCGCGUCCGAUUAGGUAGUUGGUGAGGUAACGGCCCACCAAGACGACGAUCAGUAGCCGACCUGAGAGGGUGACCGGCCACAUUGGGACUGAGACACGGCCCAAACUCCUACGGGAGGCAGCAGUGGGGAAUAUUGCACAAUGGGGGGAAACCCUGAUGCAGCAACGCCGCGUGAGUGAAGAAGUAUUUCGGUAUGUAAAGCUCUAUCAGCAGGGAAGAAGAUGACGGUACCUGAGUAAGAAGCCCCGGCUAACUACGUGCCAGCAGCCGCGGUAAUACGUAGGGGGCAAGCGUUAUCCGGAUUUACUGGGUGUAAAGGGAGCGCAGGCGGCGUGGCAAGUCAGAUGUGAAAACCCGGGGCCCAACCCCGGGAGUGCAUUUGAAACUGCCAAGCUGGAGUGCCGGAGAGGUAAGCGGAAUUCCUAGUGUAGCGGUGAAAUGCGUAGAUAUUAGGAGGAACACCAGUGGCGGAGGCGGCUUACUGGACGGUAACUGACGCUGAGGCUCGAAAGCGUGGGGAGCAAACAGGA